GGGCGAGCGGCGGCAGGAGGAGUCUGUGCGCCGCCAUCUUCUGGCUGCGCGGGUCGCGGGGAGGGAGCGGCCGGCAAGGGAGGAGGAGGAGAAGAAGAAGAGGAGGAAGAUGAGGAGGAGGAGGAGGAGGAGGGGGCGGCUGGUGCUGCUGUCCGACGCUGGUUGAGCGAGGGCCGGCCGGGAGAGGCGCUGCCGUGGGCUCAGGCGUGCCGGGGGAGGGCGAGGGGCUCGGCCCCGACGCCCACUGACGUGGCCGCGCCCGAGGCGGGGCCCGGCGCCUGAGGGAAGGGGCGAUCAGUUCAUGCGCCGGCGAUGUCCAGUGGAACAAAGAUUCACAGAAAAAUGCAAGCAGCAGCUCGGAUGCAGGAGAGGAAAAAUGCCCCCAGCACAUGACGAGCAGUCAUGCCCCUUGCCUGUCAGACUGCUCUUGUUCUCCUUUCCAGGCUCGCUCCAGCACAGCUGUCAGCCUUGUCCUCCUCAGCUAUGGCAGUGAAAACACACAGCAAGAUCCAUUGGAAUUUCACAAAACCCCACAGUUACUGAUGCAUGAAAAAUCACGCACUGCACCACGCAGAAAGGAAUGCUCUUUAAAUUAUAUGGCAUCUAGAAUACACACAGAACACCUGAACUUACUUCCAAUGCAUUAAUAG